UACGAAGGGGGCUAGCGUUGCUCGGAAUCACUGGGCGUAAAGGGUGCGUAGGCGGGUUUUUAAGUCAUACGUGAAAUCCCUCGGCUUAACCGGGGAACUGCGUCUGAUACUGGAUGGCUUGAGUUCGGGAGAGGGAUGCGGAAUUCCAGGUGUAGCGGUGAAAUGCGUAGAUAUCUGGAGGAACACCGGUGGCGAAGGCGGCAUCCUGGACCGAUACUGACGCUGAGGAGCGAAAGCCAGGGGAGCAAACGGG
rnacentral:rRNA from 1 species